rnacentral:rRNA from 1 species
AGCAGCCGCGGUAAUUCCAGCUCCAAUAGCGUAUAUUAAAGUUGUUGCAGUUAAAAAGCUCGUAGUUGAACUUCGGGGUUCACCCAUUGGUCAGGCUUAAUUGUCUGCACUGGUGAGAUGAGUCUCUACCUUCUGAGGAACUUUCAUGCCUAUUUAUUUGGUGUGAUUAGGAAAUCAGGACUGUUUACUUUAGAAAAAAUUAGAGUUAGUUUAAAGCAGGCUAACGUCUGAAUACAUUAGCAUGGAAUAAUGAAAUAGGACGGACUGAUUCUAUUUCGUUGGUUCUAGGAUCACCGUAAUGAUUAAUAGGGAUAGUUGGGGGCAUUAGUAUUCAAUUGUCAGAGGUGAAAUUCUUGGAUUUAUUGAAGACUAACUACUGCGAAAGCAUUUGCCAAGGAUGUUUUCAUUAAUCAAGAACGAAAGUUAGGGGAUCGAAGACGAUCAGAUACCGUCGUAGUCUUAACCAUAAACUAUGCCGACUAGGGAUCGGAUGAUGUUAAUUAUUUAAUGACUA